UACAGAGGGGGCAAGCGUUAUUCGGAAUUAUUGGGCGUAAAGGGCGCGUAGGCGGCCUGGCAAGUGGAAGGUGAAAUCCCUCGGCUUAACCGAGGAACUGCCUUCCAAACUGCUUGGCUUGAGUCCGGAGAGGUGAGUGGAAUUCCCAGUGUAGCGGUGAAAAUGCGUAGAUAUUGGGAAGAACACCGGUGCGAAGGCGGCUCACUGGCUCGUAUCUGACGCUCCAGGCGCGACAGCGUGGGGAUCAAACAGG
rnacentral:rRNA from 1 species